rnacentral:rRNA from 1 species
UGGGGAAUAUUGCACAAUGGGCGAAAGCCUGAUGCAGCAACGCCGCGUGAGUGAUGAAGGCCUUCGGGUUGUAAAGCUCUGUCUUCUGGGACGAUAAUGACGGUACCAGAGGAGGAAGCCACGGCUAACUACGUGCCAGCAGCCGCGGUAAUACGUAGGUGGCAAGCGUUGUCCGGAUUUACUGGGCGUAAAGGAUGCGUAGGCGGAUACUUAAGUCAGAUUUGAAAAUCCCGGGCUUAACUUGGGAACUGCAUUUGAUACUGGGUAUCCAGAGUGCGGGAGAGGGAAGUGGAAUUCCUAGUUUAGCGGUGAAAUGCGUAGAGAUUAGGAAGAACUCCAGUGGCGAAGGCGACUUUCUGGACCGUAACUGACGCUGAGGCAUGA